GCAUCGGUGGUUUAGUGGUAAAAUUAGCCGUUGCCAAAUGCAGCUUUCGUUGAAGGUUGCUCGCUGUCGGCUAGCCCCGGGUUCGAUUCCCGGCCGAUGCA